rnacentral:rRNA from 1 species
AACCUGGUUGAUCCUGCCAGUAGUCAUACGCUCGUCUCAAAGAUUAAGCCAUGCAUGUCUAAGUAUAAAUACUUUUACUUUGAAACUGCGAACGGCUCAUUAUAUCAGUUAUAGUUUAUUUGAUAUUCCCUUACUACUUGGAUAACCGUAUUAAUUCUAGAGCUAAUACAUGCAUCAAUACCCAACUGUUCGCGGACGGGUA